UUAUGAUUAGUGGCGCACGGGUGAGUAAUAUAUAGGUAACGUGCCCUAGAGAAGAGGAUAACAGUUGGAAACGAUUGCUAAGACUCUAUAUGCCUUUAUCCCAUAAGGGAGCAAGGGAAAUAUUUAUAGCUCUAGGAUCGGCCUGUACGGUAUCAGUUAGUUGGUGAGGUAAUGGCUCACCAAGACUAUGACACCUAACUGGUUUGAGAGGAUGAUCAGUCACACUGGAACUGAGACACGGUCCAGACUCC
rnacentral:rRNA from 1 species